CUUCCCCGUGUCGUCACAGCUCAUAUUGAAGUCUCCCAGUACCAUUCGCGUUCUCGAUGUAAUGAUUUGCGGAGCUAUGACUAGUUUCUGUAUGCCCAGGAUGAACAGGAUGACUGCGGAGAGAAAGUAAAAGGUAGAAUAUCCAAGGUUCAAUGACCGCCGCCUUGACUACAAAAAGUGACCUAUGUACGGAGUACAGUAGUGGCUACGCCGAUUCUUACCCAAUGUCAGGGUGGCGACUGUGAAGACGGGAUGGAUCCAGAGGGACUCCGUUAGCGGUACGACGGUGGUGCGCGGAUCGCGUAGCCAGUACCAGGCGCUGAUGGCGGUGCACAUGGACAUGGCGGAGAGGACAACUGCAAGAAGCUCUAUGGUUAUUACGGGCUGUACUGCUCGCUGGUGUUCUCAUUAUACGGAUGCAACUUACUGCGCCAGCGGAACGUCGAGGGACGGUACGAUGAAACCACUUCGGUGAGGCGCCGCUCGAAGGCCUUGAGAUCUGCAGAGGAGCGAGGAAAACAAACCCAGUUAUGCACUGAUACGGGCUGCGUUACACAACACUAAAAAGCAGAGUCGUACCAAAGAGGGGUUAAAAGCCAUUUGUUUAUUUCCUACUUUCAGUACAAAAUGGUUUUAUAUGUAUGUUUGAUAUGUAUUGUAAUACAAAAAUAUUUUAGUUUUUAUUAUAAUAUAAAUAUAAUUAAUGAUAUA
rnacentral:sRNA from 1 species